AGACGUCUACAUUAGAUACCCGCGUAGUCCCAGCCGUAAACUAUGCGCGUUAGGUGUAUCGGUGACCACGAGUCACCGAGGUGCCGAAGGGAAACCGUGAAACGUGCCGCCUGGGAAGUACGGUCGCAAGGCUGAAACUUAAAGGAAUUGGCGGGGGAGCACCACAACGGGUGGAACCUGCGGUUUAAUUGGACUCAACGCCGGGAAGCUCACCGGAUAAGACAGCGGAAUGAUUGCCGGGCUGAAGACUCUGCAUGACUAGCUG
rnacentral:rRNA from 1 species